rnacentral:rRNA from 1 species
UAAGCAUAUCAAUAAGCGGAGGAAAAGAAACCAACAGGGAUUGCCUUAGUAACGGCGAGUGAAGCGGCAAAAGCUCAAAUUUGAAAUCUGGCACCUUCGGUGUCCGAGUUGUAAUUUGAAGAAGGUAACUUUGGAGUCAGCUCUUGUCUAUGUUCCUUGGAACAGGACGUCACAGAGGGUGAGAAUCCCGUGCGAUGAGAUGUCUGAUUCUCUGUAAAGUGCUUUCGAAGAGUCGAGUUGUUUGGGAAUGCAGCUCUAAGUGGGUGGUAAAUUCCAUCUAAAGCUAAAUAUUGGCGAGAGACCGAUAGCGAACAAGUACAGUGAUGGAAAGAUGAAAAGAACUUUGAAAAGAGAGUGAAAAAGUACGUGAAAUUGUUGAAAGGGAAGGGUUUGAGAUCAGACUUGGUAUUUUGUAUGUCUUGCUUUCGGGUGGGGCCUCUACAGUUUACUGGGCCAGCAUCGGUUUGGACGGUAGGAUAAUGACAUUGGAAUGUGGCACC